rnacentral:ncRNA from 3 species
GCUUUCAGUCGGAUGUUUACAGC